rnacentral:rRNA from 1 species
GACGAACGCUGGCGGCGUGCCUAACACAUGCAAGUCGAGCGGAGGUAAUAGUAAUAUUACCUUAGCGGCGGACGGGUGAGUAACGCGUGGGCAACCUACCUUAGACUGGGGGAUAACACUGGGAAACUAGUGCUAAUACCGCAUAAUGUUUCUUCAGCACAUGCUGGAGUCAACAAAGGAGAAAUCCGGUUUAAGAUGGGCCCGCGUCCGAUUAGCUAGUUGGUGAGGUAAUAGCUCACCAAGGCGACGAUCGGUAGCCGAACUGAGAGGUUGAUCGGCCACAUUGGGACUGAGACACGGCCCAGACUCCUACGGGAGGCAGCAGUGGGGAAUAUUGCACAAUGGGGGAAACCCUGAUGCAGCAACGCCGCGUGAAGGAUGAAGGUUUUCGGAUUGUAAACUUCUUUGAUUGGGGACGAAUAAUGACGGUACCCAAAAAACAAGCCACGGCUAACUACGUGCCAGCAGCCGCGGUAAUACGUAGGUGGCGAGCGUUGUCCGGAAUUACUGGGUGUAAAGGGCGUGUAGGCGGGGAUGUAAGUCAGAUGUGAAAUUCCAUGGCUUAACUGUGGCGCUGCAUCUGAAACUAUGUCUCUUGAGUGAUGGAGAGGAAAGCGGAAUCCCUAGUGUAGCGGUGAAAUGCGUAGAUAUUAGGAGGAACACCAGUGGCGAAGGCGGCUUUCUGGACAUUAACUGACGCUGAAGCGCGAAAGCGU